rnacentral:rRNA from 1 species
AACGUAGGAGACAAACGUUAUCCGGGAGUUACUGGGCGUAAAGGGCGUGUAGGUGGUUGCGUAAGUCUGGCGUGAAAUUUUUCGGCUUAACCGGGAAAGGUCGUCGGGAUACUGCGUAGCUAGAGGACGGUAGAGGCGUGUGGAAUUCCGGGUGUAGUGGUGAAAUGCGUAGAGAUCCGGAGGAACACCAGUGGCGAAGGCGACACGCUGGGCCGUACCUGACACUGAUGCGCGACAGCAUGGGGGAGCAAACAGG